UACAGAGGGUGCGAGCGUUGUCCGGAAUCACUGGGCGUAAAGGGCGCGUAGGUGGCAACCCAAGUCUGUGGUGAAAGCUCGAUGCUUAACAUCGAGUCGGCCGCGGAAACUGGGUGGCUCGAGCACUGUAGGGGCAGAUGGAAUUCCGGGUGUAGCGGUGGAAUGCGUAGAUAUCUGGAGGAACACCGGUGGCGAAGGCGGCGUUCUGGACUGCAACUGACACUGAGGAACGAAAGCCAGGGGAGCAAACGGG
rnacentral:rRNA from 1 species